rnacentral:lncRNA from 1 species
CUCUGCUGUGCCUUCUUCAGCUUGUUUGCGAGUUCCUGGUUCAUCCUGACCACCCUGAAAGGCCGCCCCUGGGACUUUGCAUAACUCAUUCUGUCUCCUGGCUGAGCUUGGAUUUCAGAUCAGAUCUCUUAGGACAGAGCCCUUGGGAAUUCCCAUGGUGUGAAUGUCCUGGGCCAGCGGGAAUGGCUGCUCGCUCAUCUCUUCCAAGGCUGGAGUGCAGUGGCGUGAUCUCGGCUCACUACAACCUCCACCUCCCAGCCGCCUGCCUUGGCCUCCCAAAGUGCGGAGAUUGCAGCCUCUGCCCGGCCACCACCCCGUCUGGGAAGUGAGGAGCGUCUCUGCCUGGCUGCCCAUCGUCUGGGAUGUGAGGAGCCCCUCUGCCCGGCUGCCCAGUCUGGGAAGUGAGGAGCGCCUCUUCCCGGCCGCCAUCCCGUCUAGGAAGUGAGGCGUGUCUCUGCCCGGCCGCCCAUCGUCUGAGAUGUGGGGAGCACCUCUGCCCCGCUGCCUCGUCUGGGAUGUGAGGAGCGCCUCUACCCGGCCGCCACCCCAUCUGGGAGGUGAGGAGCGUCUCUGCCCGGCCGCCCCGUCUGCGAAGUGAGGAGCCCCUCCGCCCGGCAGCCGCCCCGUCCGGGAGGUGGGGGCCAGCCCCCGCCCCGCCAGCCGCCCUGUCCGGGAGGGAGGUGUGGGGGUCAGCCCCCGCCCGGCCAGCCGCCCCGUCCGGGAGGGAGGUGGGGGGCGCCUCCGCCCGGCCACUGCCCCGUCUGGGAGGUGGGGGGCGCCUCUGCCCGGCCGCCACCCCGUCUGGGAGGUGUACCCAACAGCUCAUUGAGAACGGGCCAUGAUGACGAUGGCGGUUUUGUCGAAUAGAAAAGGGGGAAAUGUGGGGAAAAGAAAGAGAGAUCAGAUUGUUACUGUGUCUGUGUAGAAAGAAGUAGACAUGGGAGACUCCAUUUUGUUCUGUACUAAGAAAAAUUCUUCUGCCUUGGGAUGCUGUUAAUCUAUAACCCUACCCCCAACCCUGUGCUCUCUGAAACCUGUGCUGUGUCCACUCAGGGUUAAAUGGAUUAAGGGCGGUGCAAGAUGUGCUUUGUUAAACAGAUGCUUGAAGGCAGCAGGCUCGUUAAGAGUCAUCACCACUCCCUAAUCUCAAGUACCCAGGGACACAAACACUGCGGAAGGCCGGGAGGCCGCAGGGUCCUCUGUCUAGGAAAACCAGAGACCCUUGUUCACAUGUUUAUCUGCUGACCUUCCCUCCACUAUUGUCCUAUGACCCUGCCAAAUCCCCCUCUCCGAGAAACACCCAAGAAUGAUCAAUAAAUACUAAAAAAAAUAAAAUAAAAUAAAAAUUAAAAAAAAUAAAAAUAAAAAUACAAAAAAUUAGCUGGGCAUGGUGGCGCGUGCCUGUAAUCCCAGCUAUUCAGGAGGCUGAGACAGGAGAAGAAUCGCUUGAAAGCGGGAGGCAGAGGUUGCAGUGAGCCAACAUCUCACCACUGCACUCCAGCCUGGGCAACAAGAGCAAAACUCCAUCUCAAAACAAACAACAACAACAACAACAAAAAACAGGCUGGGCGAGGUGGCUCAUGCCUGUAAUCCCAGCACUUUGGGAGGCUGAGGUGGGUGGAUUACGUGAGGUCAGAAGUUCGAGACCAGCCUGACCAACAUGGAGAAACAGUGUCUCUACUAAAAAUACAAAAAUUAGCCAGGCGUAGUGGUGGACGCCUGUAGUCCCAGCUACUCGGGAGGCUGAGGCAGGAGAAUUGCUUGAACCCGGGAGGCGGAGGUUGCAGUGAGCCGAGAUCAUGCCACUGCACUUUAGCCUGGGCAACAAAAGCGAAACUCUGUCUCAAAAAAAAUAAAAAUAAAAAUAAAACCAGAAAGAGGC